CAGAGCGUAUAUUACGGUAAAGUACGAUAUCGCCGAGGUGAAGAGCUGGAAACAAAAAAUCUCCUUCUCAUACUGCUCUUUUUACACGUUCUCCUCAUUUACUGUCUGACCGUUGAACAUCGUUUACUUGUCAAAUGUAAUUAUAUCAGAGCGUGACUUCUGCGAAUAUUUAUUUACGAAAUCCUCGCUUACCGUGGCAAAUCCCUCUAAGCUGGGAACGAAGACACCGGCGACCACCAGUUUUUGUUCUUUUAUGGCCAACUGCAUGAACAAUAUCAUUUUCUGAAUAGACAACGGCGCUAUGUACCACAGAGUUUGAAAACUAAAGUUAAAAAAAUAAAAAAAAGAAAAAAAAAAGAACAACAUAUUUACAAAACGCGGAUAACAACGACACCAUUGACCAUCUACAAAGCAUUGCAAGCUGUGAAUAAUUUCUAAACUCAAACUCAUAAAUACAGAGUAAAACUAAGCCGAGCAAUCCGGAAAAAAAAAAAAGAAAAAAAUAUCCGACACGUUAAAUGUGUCACUUACACGAAAGAAAACGCAACUCAAAGACACCGCGCCAACUACAAUCAGCGGAAAAUACCACAAGUGAAAAGUGUGCAGUUGCUCAUUGAUAAACCUUCGAUAUGUGCAAAACUAACUCCAUAGUUCUUCUGUGAAUAAUGACACCUCGAUGAAUUUUAUGAUACAUCAAAUACAUUCUCUGAGACACGGGAAUCUGCAUCACCCGCUCGGUCACUGUAUUUUCGAUUAAGAUGCUGCAAGCAACGUGCAAAAUCAAUGAAUGAAGAACAGACGAAAUCAAUAUAGAAAACACAUCGAAAUUGCUUCUUCAAAAUAAGAUUUACCUGGCAAUUUUGUAGGUCGCGCAGAAGUGUCUUCCCAUCAUAAAGAGAAAAGAUCCCGUCGAGAGAAGCGACCAAAUG